rnacentral:tRNA from 1 species
GCCACGGUGGUCUAGCGGUUAAACGCUGGCCUUGUAAUCCUGGGGUCUCGGGUUCGAUUCCCGGCGGUGCCC